rnacentral:tRNA from 1 species
GCUUCUAUAGUUGAACUACAACAAGAGCUUUUCACGCUCUAAGUCUAAGUUAAAGUCUUAGUAGAGGCAAG